rnacentral:lncRNA from 1 species
GUUAUGAUUUUCAAGAUGGCGACUGUCAAUGCCUGGAGUAUGGAGUUGCUCUUUUCUCUUUUAAAAAUGUAUUUAGCUUUAUGAAAAAUCUACUGCAAAGUUAUAAUGGUGGAUUCAAGAUUCUGAUAGGUUAUUGCAACUUCUCUUGUUUCUCCAGAGUGUUCUUCAGGAAAUAGUCAAGAAAAAACAGUUUGCCAUGGCACGACUUUUGCGUACCUCUCAGGAGAAUAGACUACAUUCUAUUGCUAUGAAACUACAAUAAAGAGACCCUUUACAUGUUUUUACAUUGUUUAAAGUUGUUUUUGAAUUUUUCUUGUCGCUGGUUUUUUAGUUAUAACAAUUUAUAUUCAGCCAUUUUGCUAAGAUGCCAUUGAUUGCUGCCAUUAA